UUUAAGCAACGCCUUUCUUCCCUAUCAAUGUGUUAUAUGAAUAUAUGUUACUUGUGUGUUAUAUGAAAUAUCGUUUAUUCUUUUAGGGUGUGUGUUGUGCAAGACGUGUUCCCUAAUGCUGCUUCUUCUGCUUGGAAGUUGUUUAAUUUAAAAGAAAAGACUGAUCAUCCUUGUCCAGAGCAUUAUUCAUCGGACCAAGCAUUUAUAGUAAUUGAAACAGAAUUAGCUGGAACAGAUAUGGAUGAACUUAAGAUCAUAAGCUAUUUAAAAGCUCUUUCUAUAUUCCACCAAGUAGCAGCUGGGUUAGCUGUAGCUGAGGAGAAGCUCCAGUUUGAGCAUCGAGACCUUCAUCCCGGUAAUAUCUUAAUAAAAAAGUGUGG